ACGUCGAGGAACUGUUUGCCAAGGCGUGGUACGUCGACGCCCCCGCUCUCAUCACUGCUGAUCUGAGCUUCAUGGCACCUGUUCAGCUCUUGGAUGGGCUCGUCUGCAAAGUCGAACACACAACCGAAGGAAUAUGCAAGCUUCUGAAUGACACCGAGGCCGCAAUCUCAAGAUUCAACGCAUUGCAGAAUAUGAGGAAGACGGACUUCGCCGAGCAGUGUCCCUCGGCGACGCAGAUGUUCGCCAAGCUCGAGGAUUCGAUCUUCGAGGGCGACCACUUCGUCUC